AAUAACGAGACUUAAAAUUCAUGGGCAUUGAACAAGGUGAAGGGGGAGGUUUCUGUUAUGUAUAAAUACUGAGCCAGGCUUCAAUCAAACACCAUGGACACUACUGCUGCUAUUGUAAGAAAACAAUGAAAAGGUGCUCCAAAGAUAACAACUCACCACUUAUCUUUGCGCUGCUUCUGGCAUCUCUACUUUUAUCAAUCGGGAGUUCAGGGUGUGUGUUAGUUGAAGCAAGAAUUCCCCACUUCUCAGUUAUCCAAGGCAGUUUGAAGAGUGAUAUAUACCGUCGGAGAUUGAGGCCAUUUCCUCCAAUAGGGCUAAACGGCAGUGCAUGAUCUUUGGAAUGUUUCUCCAUGGCCAUGCCAAUCCUGCAUUUAAGAUAGCUCUUAUCUAAGCAACCACUCCGAAAGGCACUAUAACACUGGUAAAACAUAAAAUUUGCAGACAAAUUAUGGAAUAAAGUUGUUAUUUUAUUUAAGCUGAAACAUGAACUUUACAGCAUAAUUCCGAAGGUCCUCUCUCUAUUUAAUAUAUUAUUAUACUUCCUAAAUAUACAUCACAAUGGGAAAUUACAUCGGAUAUAAUAAAAUGUGGAAGUAAUAUGCAAUUGCAUUACUUUCUCGAGGCUAAUGGAGCAGUACCUUUACUUAAGCAGUGGUAAUGUAAGCUUCCUCAGAUUACAGUUCCACUAGGAAUUAAGGCAUCCUUGAUUACUGUAACAAUCCCACUCUUUAUGAAAUAUCCGUCUGUUUCCCUCGCAGCUUCUUGCACAUUGUCAC